rnacentral:misc_RNA from 1 species
AGCUUGGAGGGUAAUUACAUCAAAUGAUAAGUCUUAUACAAAUCAAACCCAAUUCAUAAAUAGGCUCAACCCAAAGAGCCUUCUAAUCCAUUAGCUAACCCUAACCCUAAUAUUCAAGAGAUCUAAGUAGAACCUCUCAUCUUUGCAAUGUCGCCACCGUCCACAUCAAUUGCGAGGGAUCGUUGGAGAUCAAAAAUCAAAGUUUCUAUUGUCAAAACUUUGCAAUCUUGGGCUAGAACCCUCCAAAGACAAGAUCAAAACCCACAACCUAAGAUUAAAUCACCAUCUCCAACAAGAAACUUUAGGCUCAAAACCACCAACAAUAAAGGAUAGAAGAAGGCUGAGGUUAUGGCAUCUCAAUCUUCUCUAGCCAUGGAAAACCAGCAAAGACGUGUGAAUGCUGGCUCUAAUCCUUAAAGAUGCCUUCCUUGGAACCCACUCCUGAGUUGCUCCCUUCUUAAACCACCAAAACAUAACACCAUCGGUGCCAAGAACAAGCAAAGCCAUAAAACAUGGAUCCAUCAUCUCGAAAACCAACAUGUAGGGAGACUGAAAAUCCCUCUCCAGUUCCAAAUCGCUCCACCUACAACUUAACAAAACCAAGCAUAAAACCGUACACAACCUCACGCAGGGUUGAAAAAGGAGGCCUAUGCUUCAGAGAAAAGGAGAAGCCUUCCCUACCAUAGAGAGUAGGGAACGGCUAAAAAUCGCUGCGAGUCUGAGUACCUGAGAUUGAAAACCUUUAAAGAGGAAAAAAAACUUUCUCUAGAAAGACUAGAGAGAGUAAUCUUACUCUCAUAUGUAUAUGCAUAUUCUCACAGUAAAAUGAAUUAUUAAACUUAAAAUCAAGAUUAAAUAAUAAUAAUUAAAAUUUUUAAAUCGAAUAAUAAUUAUGAAUUUUAAUUCAAUAAUGUUGAAA